UCCGAUGUCGUCCAGCGGUUAGGAU
rnacentral:ncRNA from 2 species